rnacentral:rRNA from 1 species
UCUGGGACAAGCCCUGGUAAACGGGGUCUAAUACCGGAUACCACUCCUGCCUGCAUGGGCGGGGGUUGAAAGCUCCGGCGGUGAAGGAUGAGCCCGCGGCCUAUCAGCUUGUUGGUGGGGUAAUGGCCCACCAAGGCGACGACGGGUAGCCGGCCUGAGAGGGCGACCGGCCACACUGGGACUGAGACACGGCCCAGACUCCUACGGGAGGCAGCAGUGGGGAAUAUUGCACAAUGGGCGAAAGCCUGAUGCAGCGACGCCGCGUGAGGGAUGACGGCCUUCGGGUUGUAAACCUCUUUCAGCAGGGAAGAAGCGAAAGUGACGGUACCUGCAGAAGAAGCGCCGGCUAACUACGUGCCAGCAGCCGCGGUAAUACGUAGGGCGCAAGCGUUGUCCGGAAUUAUUGGGCGUAAAGAGCUCGUAGGCGGCUUGUCACGUCGGAUGUGAAAGCCCGAGGCUUAACCUCGGGUCUGCAUUCGAUACGGGCUAGCUAGAGUGUGGUAGGGGAGAUCGGAAUUCCUGGUGUAGCGGUGAAAUGCGCAGAUAUCAGGAGGAACACCGGUGGCGAAGGCGGAUCUCUGGGCCAUUACUGACGCUGAGGAGCGAAAGCGUGGGGAGCGAACAGGAUUAGAUACCCUGGUAGUCCACGCCGUAAACGUUGGGAACUAGGUGUUGGCGACAUUCCACGUCGUCGGUGCCGCAGCUAACGCAUUAAGUUCCCCGCCUGG